GUCCUCGUUUAGAUUCAUAAUCUAAACCCAACAUUCGACUGCAGCAUGACAGAAAGUGACGUGCAUAAUCGAAGGUAUGAAAGCCAAUUAGGUCGCAAUUUAACAACCCUUUGAGAAUUUCAUCCCUAACAGGCAGAGUUCGGUAAAUUUCUGACGAAGGAAAUGGGCUAUGAAGAAAGAAACCUAGCUUGACACGAUGGUAGCGCUUCCUUAAAAAUGUCGGUAGAACCAUGAGGUGGUAAUCUUGA
rnacentral:misc_RNA from 1 species